rnacentral:rRNA from 1 species
GGCACGCGAGCUGGGUUUAGAACGUCGUGAGACAGUUCGGUCCCUAUCUGCCGUGGGUGUAGGAUACUUGAGAGGAGUUGCCCCUAGUACGAGAGGACCGGGGUGAACGAUCCACUGGUGGACCUGUUGUUGCGCCAGCAGCAGUGCAGGGUAGCUAUGAUCGGACAGGAUAACCGCUGAAGGCAUCUAAGCGGGAAGCCCCCCUCAAAACAAGGUAUCCCUGAGGACCGUGGUAGACCACCACGUCGAUAGGCCGGAGAUGUAAGCGCAGCAAUGCGUUCAGUUGAC